GUUCUAAGCAGAGGAGUACAGCAACCAUAUCUGCAUUUUAAAAGAUCCCCUUGCGAGCCAUGUAAAGAAUGGAUUGGAAGCGGGUGAGAGUACAGGCAGGGAGACCACUUAGGGAGAGAUAUAUGGUUUGGGAAGAAAUUGCCAAAGCCUGAGCAGCGACACCAAGAAGAGAAAGUAAAACAGAUGUUCAGGAAAUGGAACCUGUGGGUCGCGGUGCCUGAUCCCCGCGGAAAGGAGCCAAGGAGCCAAGAAGCGCCCAGGAUUUGGGGGAAACGGUGGUGCAACACUCCGCGGGCAGGUGGGGAAGAGCUUCCACAGGACUCAUAUUUGUGCCUUCCUUGAUCAUGAAUUCUAACCACACUCCAGAAGCAAACUGAAUGGCUUUUUCGUAGACUCUCCGUGUUUUCACUCAUCUGAACCCUUAGAUCUUCAGCUGGAUGGCUUGGUGCCAGCUGGAAAAAGAGGAAACGUGUUAACGCCCGGAGAUGCGAAAAAGAAGCCAAGGCAGGUUACUGCUACUAGGUGAAAGGUAUGUGGCCCUGAAGGAGGAAACGUGCCACAGGCAAAGGCCAGGGCCCAU